UUUAAUGAACCUCACAUAUAUGUAAUACGUAAACAUAUAUGGUCAGUUCCUAUAAGUUGAAGGCGUUCGGACUAAGUGAAACAGAUAGUGUAUCGUUCUCUCACUCUUCCGAUCGCAUUUGUCAGCUCUGCGCAUGUAAUACAUAUUUUAGAGAAUUCUCAAGCAUGCGCAGUAUAGAUAAAAUGUCUCGAACGAGAGAGAAAACAAAUAUUGUCGGCACCGUAAUGUUUGGACAUUCUUUCCCGUACCAACUGCCCAUAUAGGAGUAUAUUACAU